GCUGUACAGAUACAGUUCCAUCGUCCUUAGAGCAAAAAGACUGACUGAAGAAUGCAGCCUAUGAAGGGGAUUUGAAGUGCGAGCCUCCAACAUGGCUGUGGUUCUGCCAGCAAGAGCAGGGUAUGUGGCUUGAAACAUUGUCCACCUGAUGUUUGCUUUUGCUUUUAAGACAGAUGCCAACACGGAAGCUAACAGUUUCUGACCUCAUAUGUAAACAACAGGCCAUUUCAGGGUAGCUUGCAGCUAUGCGUUAUAGUUGGGGAUGUUAGAGGGUCAUGCAGCACGGUCCUGGCAGCUGCCAGGAAGGAGAUGCCAGCUGGGGAGCUGAGGAUGGGGUCCAGGGCAGUGUGGACACUUGCCAUUCUCUGCAUAUAACGAGUAAGGUGGGUCUGGCAUCUUCUCGACACUGAACUAAAGCUACGUACACGGUCUUGGAAAUGCAGGAGGUGGUGGCACAUGGGCGUUUUCAUCUUAUGCAUGUGGUGCCUGUGGUGAGCAGAAGAGUGUGCCAGAUCCACAGGCGUGAGCUGCCAUGUGGGUCCCCGAAACAGAAUCCUCUGCAAGAACAAGUGCUCUUGACCACUGAGAUUCCCCCAGCCCUUCCUACCCGGGUCUUCGUGCCUGCCUGCAUUGUCUCAGUCCCAUCUGAUCUCAGCAGUGACCGCCGUCUCCGUCUUUAAGGGAGUGUUUGAAGACACUGUGCUGUGGGAAGAAGUUUCCAUGUGGAGCUUUUUCGGAGAAGGACCAGAGCUUGUGACGAGCCUCCAUGUAGUCAUCACCUGAUGGCACAUCUUCUCUUCGGUAUCCUCCAUAUUGUUCCCUUCUGCCCUAAUAUUCUGAAGCCACCAAGGAGCUUUCUGUUGACAACAUUGACCAGAUUCACUCCAGGAGCUGAAUUCUAGGCUGGGGCCCAGAAUAGAUGUGCUUAAACAGAGCUCUCUCAGAGUCUUGGCGGAGCAGCCAAGGCUGAGCGCUGGGACAUUGAGAGACCCCAGGGGAGGUGGAAGAGAUGAGUUUACCUGGAUCCGUUAAAGGACACUGGUAUCUUUCCUCCAAGUUCCUUCCAGAGAAUCAGCUGCUCCAGACAGGGACGAAUCCCCCUAAUGUCCCCUUCCCUACCUCCUCUUAUAGGGUCUUGGCAGGAAGAGAGCAAUGCCUUCCUGUCUCCUUGAUGACGUAUCAGCCGUGUCAGCCCCCCACCAGUGAGAGAAAAGGCCUGUGGGAUAUACCCAUCUGCAAGGGUUAACUGAGACACCAUGAGGAUAAAUGUUCCCUAGGCCUCAGCCAGCUGGAUCCCGUGAUCCAGAGCCUGGUGCUGGCACAGCCAGCAAACAAAGAUGCUUUGUUCAUGUACGAGAAUAAACACUUCCCCUGGAUAUUUACUCCCGGGCUCAAGUGUAAUAUGGGGUGUAAGUUACUCUUUAACAGGCAAUUGGAUACUGGCUGUUGAGUUCUGAACUAAUUUCCUGGAGGGAAGGGAUGGCUACAUCUGCCCAGGGGAUGACCAGCCUCAGGAGCGCCUAUGGCUGGCCAUUACCAGAAUCUGAGAACAGACACAGUGGCCACUGCAGGCUUCUCCAAGAGGCAGGGGAAGCGGAAUGAAAUGGAGGCCCAGCAAAGGGGAUGUUUAUUUUGCCAAGGCAAGGAACCUGCCUGUCCAUUCCCCUGCAUCCACACCAGCUGCUUGGGAGAAGGCAGUCAUCGUGUGCUUUGGGUGGGAAUAGGCUGUCCAGUGCCACGGUGCCCAGCCCCAAGCUCCAUUCCCACCAUUAACUGUUGCUACCCAAGUCUAAGCCUAGUCUUCUAGAUCAGAGGCAAUGGCUGACAUACCAUGACCUGUCAGUCUUUAGAACUUAAGUAAAACUGCACGGAGUGAGGCGUGGUGAUUGCUGGCAGGGUCCUUGUCUGGCAUGUGGCAGGCGCUGGGUUCCAUCCCUGACAUCUCAAAAGUAAAUGAAUAGCUACUGCACAUAGUUUUACAUGUCAAUCAUUAGAAACCUAGAUGAAGACUUUGGACAGAGAUUGUGUAGGAUCCACGGGGAGGAAAGGAAGCCAUCUCUCUUCCUACUGCCUGCUCUGAUUGGACCAUGGGAGACCUCUGCCCCAGGGAAGUUUGUCCUUGGCUUGCUAGAGACCUAUCGCUAAGUACAGAAAGAUGACAAGGCUAUUGACUUGCCCCUGCGUGGAUAUUUGGACCAGAAAAAGAGGAGGGAAUCACUUUGCAGGAGGAUGAUAUAAGUAAAUGACAUGUGGGCAUCAUGGAGGUCACUGCACAAUGCCAUCCUCUGUGGCGGGCACAGGAGGGCACCAGGAGACAGACUCAGGAAGAGGUGUGGAAGGAAGCAAGUCAGAAGCCCUCAGAGCAACAGAGAGCUGUCCUUUCCUUGACUGUGUGGUGGUUGGAAUGAGAACAGUUCCUGUUCGCUCAUAGAUUUGAAUAUUUGGUUCUUGGAAAGGUUCGAAGAUGUGGCCUUGUUGGAGGAGAUAAGAUCUACAAAAGCUCCUAGCAAUUGCUCUAGCACGAUGCCUGCCUGCCACAACGCUCCUCUCCAUGAUGGUAAGGACUCACCCUCUCAGACUAUAAGCAAGCCCCCAAUUAAGUACUUUCUUCUAAAGUUUAUCUUGCUCAUGGUGUCUCAUUAUGGCCAUAGAAAAGUAACAGAGACAACUUGUUUGGAUUCAGGGGCCAGCCACAGAACUAGGACCCAGGAUCCUGUGACCUGUCAGUAGAUCUGGGCACCAUGAGCUCCUGAGAGAGGCCAUCUCAGGAUGGCUACCUGUGGGCCCUGGGCUUCACUCUUCUUCGUGCUCCCAGCUGCUUUUAUUGACAAGUGGGGAGAUAAAGAAGAUUGGGAGUGGAGUCAGAGGCUGUCAUGUGUACACGUGAGCCUAGAGUCAGCCCACUUUCCACCUGUAGUAGACUUAGGUUGACCUGUAUCGGCUCAAACACUGAGUGGGUGGGGAUCUAACAGAUUUGGGUGGUCAAGAAGGGGAGGGUCUGAACCUGGGUUCUGAAGAGAUUGGAAACUUGCCUGUGGUGGCUAAAACUCAAGAAGCUAGGUUGACCUGUAUCGGCUCAAACACUGAGUGGGUGGGGAUCUAACAGAUUUGGGUGGUCAAGAAGGGGAGGGUCUGAACCUGGGUUCUGAAGAGAUUGGAAACUUGCCUGUGGUGGCUAAAACUCAAGAAGCUGGGUAUUUAAAAACAAUAAUUUGAAGCGGGAAGACCUACUUUAACCCCAGAUCUUUUGAGAUGGAAAGAUCCAUCUUUAAUCCGGGCCACACCUUCUGCUGGCAGAAGAUAAAGGUGAAGGGCAUGGGAUAAAGAAGUUUAUUCUUUUCCCCUGCUUGCUUUUGCUCUGCCUGGCAAGUCCAUUCCUCUCCUGGCCAUUAGAGCCUGCUUCUUUAGGAUUCCAGCAUAUACUGAAGAUCGGCUGAGACGGCCAGCCUCACAGACUGAUUCUUAGACCUUCUUCUGGUGUACAGCUGUUGCUGGACUAGCUGGACCAGAUCACAGCCUGUAAGCUAUUUCUAAUAAAACAUUUAAAAUGUAUAAA
rnacentral:lncRNA from 1 species